CAAUAUUAAUAUUAUAAAGCAAUGAGAAUAUUUCUGGUGUGCCAAAAUUUCAGCAGUUUGGCGGUUUGACACGCGAUCCGAAUCAUGAUUUGACACGCUGAUUCAUUACGCUCCGAAUCUUCCUGAAGCAGUGUUUUGAAAUCGGCCAUCACUAAAUAAGUCGUUAUUUUGUUUUUUUUGGCGCACCAAAACUAUUCUCGUCGCUUUAUAAUAUUAAUAUUGAACCACUGUACUCACAUGAACUGAUUUAAAUAUGUUUUUAGUACCUUUAUGGAUCUUGAGAGGAAAUGUCAUUGCUCCCUAUGUAGGCCUCACGGAGCCAUCAGAUUUAAACAAAAAUAUCUUAAUUUGUGUUCCGAAGAUCAACGAAGGUCUUACGGGUGUAAAACGGCAUGAGGGUGAGUAAUUAAUGACAGAAUUUUCAUUUUUGGGUGAACUAACCCUUUAAGGAAAUUUUUAUAAUAAGUUAUAAUAGGCCUACUAACUUUAAAAUUAUUUCUACUCUAAUCCUUUUUUUUUUUUUUUUUUUUUUAAACAUUUAAAUAAUGGCUGUCAACUUGAUGGAUUUAUUCAAACAUGCAUUAUAUAGGCUAUUGAAUAACAUUAAAAAUUAUAAUUAAUAUGCAAUAUGGUGCAUAUAUUUAGCUAAAUGCUCAUCUCUAGAGUUAAUUUUUCUAGCUGACUAACGAGUUUAUUGUCACUGAAUAUGUUUGUUCUGAGGUAAAUAUGACGUUACGUUUGUUUGUUUACAAGCUGUUACCGUCAUUUCGCGGUUGAAACACUGAUUAAACGAUUACACGAGACAUGAUAUGGAUGACGGAAAGUUGUUCUGUAUCCUUUAACAUACCUUUAGGUGUUCAUUCAUGUUUAUUUCGCGCUGUAACUGGUAUAACAGCGGAGGAGAGGAUCAGUUCACGUGCGCGUCAGGCUGCCGCUUCUUUUGAACUGAAGCACUGCGAUCUGUCGCGUCACAUUAAAUAGCGCCCAAUCCGUAUUCUCGUGCUUUUUUAAGUGGAUAUACGGAAAUCCUUGACCUUUCCUAGUGGGUAUAAGGCAUAUACCUGCGUAUCACGUUAACUACACCACUGGGGGAUCCCCCUAGGGAGAAAUCGCGGGGGCCCCACGCAAUUGCGUGCUUUGCGUGGUGGGUAAACACUCUACUGACUGUUAUGUGGUUGUCUACACAAAUCAGUGUCAUUUAUUUAUUGGCAUAUUAAUUUAUCUAUUUAUUAAAUAUUAAAUAAUAUUAAAUAACAUUUUAACUAAUGUUUUAGUAAAUGUAGAUGUCAAUACGUGAAACACAUUUUAGUUUACCUGUCAAAACAUUUUACAGUCUAUGACAUUUUAAAGGUUUAGUCUAGAAAAAUGGGACAAUUUGGAAAUCCAAAAGUGUUUGCAAUACAACUAUAGCCUUUUUAUGUCUUGUUCUGUAAGAUUUCUUGUCAAUCCACACCUACAACACUCACCUUAUAACUUACUACAGCCGACACAGCCAGUGAUUUCUGUGCUAUGCUUUCCAAGGCCGAGACAAUGUCUGUCAGCUCUGUGGGUGAUUAAUGUGAACACUGAGCUGUUCUCUGACACCCUGCACUUAAAACAAUUGAACACCAUUAUUCCUGGUGAGGGUCAAACAAAAAAGGUUCACGUUUGCUGAUGUACUUCCUAGGCUUUAUAUUUUGGUAUGACCUGGAACUUUGCCCGGACACGUAUAUCAGCUCAGUUGCUGCCUUGUGAAAUUAUCAUGGCAUUUUUAGAUCUAGGACGCUGUGUACUCGAGGCAGGUCCCCGGCAAUGACCAUCUGGUUCAGGAAAUGGCUGUUAGAGAAAUACUGAGCCAACACUGAAAAUACUGUAUGUUAUAUGCACUGACUCUACCUUCAAAUUCUUUUAAAAUCUCUGUCUUUGUCUAUGACAAGAGAAAACAAUUAGCAAGACAUUUAACCCUCUAUUGCAUGAUGUUAAAAAUAUUAAAUACAUUACAAGCUCAUGAUACAUAUAAGAUGGCAAUAAAAUGGUUACAAAUGAAGAGAUGACUUUGAAUGAACCAAUAAUAAUAUUAUAAACCAAUAAUAAACUUAAUUUAAAUAUAUAUAUAUAUAUAUAUAUACAUACACAUACACACACACACACACGUGCAUCAUAUCUUUUUAUUUAAUUAAUUUUUGAGGUGUAAAAAUAGUGAAAUAAAUAGAAAUAAAUUAAUAAAAUAGCUUUCCAUUAUCACACAAUGUAGCCUUCUAGCAACAUAAAUAACCCUCACAAAAAAAUUUACAUGUGAAAUAGAGGGUUAAGUAUCCACCAAGUGGACAAGUAUCCACAAAGUAUGGCACUAGCCAAUCUUCUAUUUUCAAGUUAAUACUGAAGAAAAGAUUGAAAAGAAUCAGAAUCUGCUUACUCAGCAAAUGUAUUUAUUCUCUGAGGGAAAGAUUAAUGCUUGACAAAACCACAACAUCUGGGUUUGGGUUGGAAAAUUCACUGCUUAAAUAAACAUUUCUUUAAAAAAAAUUCAUGUCACUUAGGACCUUGAGACUGAGAGUACAGUAACAAACACCUAGGCAUAUGUACAUAUUGCUAAACACAAACACAAACUGGCAUUUUUCUCUGUCAAGUUUCUAGAUGUCAAUCUAGUCUAUGAACAUAUCUAACCCUGUGAACAUAGAAUUACUCAUAAUUUUCAUCCAAAAAGACUCCUUUCAAUUUAGGACUCAAGGAUAGGGAGACCAAAAUGUAGACAAACAUACAGCUUAUCAAGUGGAAAAGGAAAUCUCAACUUACUCCCUGAUUUUGAGCUAGUAAAAAGACGAAAGGGUUUGGCAGAACCUGGAAUGAUCUUUUUUAAUAACACAAUGCAGAUGUAAGCCAAAGUGGCUUGAACUCAAAAUUGUGCUGUCAUGUUCUAUAAAACAUUUUGUACCUGAAGACUUUUAAAGUGGGGGUCUAAUGCUAUUUUAUGCAUUCUGACUUAUUUACACUGUUAAAGAGUUGCAUUCUCAUGCUAAACAUGGCCAAACUGUCAACACAGGAGUUGGACGUAUGACAGAGUAUUUCUGUGCCAAAUACACUCCUUCCGGAUUAGGAUAAAUUUCGGAAAGUUUUUUUUUUUUUUUUUUUUUUUUUUUACAGGUAUUGCGUAAUAAAGGGCAGAAUUCCUUGUAUGGGCACUUCUCUCUGAUCAGCGUGUGCCCGCGUCACCCAGAGCAAGAGCAAGAGCACGCCCAUCAACGUGCUUCGUUCAGGUUAUGAAAGCAGAGAGAUUUUUUAAACAAUGUCACCAAAGAAGUGUAUUUUUUCUUGUGAGGGAAAGAUACCCUUUUUCAGUUUCCCAAAGUACCCAGCGUUAAGGGAACAGUGGAUGCAGUUUAUUUUUCCGGGGCAGCAACGGAGUUUGCAUGUAUGUUUGUUUGUUCCCGGAAUUUCGGUGAUGAAUGUUUUGUAAACAAGUCCCAGUUCGACACUGGAUUUGCAGAUUGCGGAAGAUGGAGUUCCCAUUGACAUGCAUUAUGCGACUGAGACACCACAACGGUUAAAAAUCAUCAUUUGUGUUCUACUGAAGAAACAAAGUCACCUACAUCUUGGAUGCCCUGGGGCCGCAAGACCCCGCCGAACAUAUACAUCUGGGAUGGAAGGAGGGUGCACUAACACCUCAUAGCACCAGUAACUUGACAACCUACCUAGUACAGUUUUCCUCAGCGUUUGCAAUGUCUGCAGAAAGGAGACAAUGGGCGAAGACCUCACCUUUGGAAAAGACUGUUGAUUUUAUACUCUAAAAAUGUAAGUAUCACUACUUAAAAAUUAAGAUUACCCCAGAAUGAAUUGCAUUGCUAGCCCACCCCAACACUUACGCACAAUAAUAAUGAUAAAUUCUGACCAAUACUUAAUUAUAUUACUUUUUUUUUUUUACUGAAAAUUGCUUUGGUAAACAAGUAAAAUGUUUUAUCAUAUGACAUAGCUAUGCAUGAAUACACACCAGACAAAUGCAGCCAAAGUGAAUACAUCUCAAUUUAUUUUCAGCCAAGCAAUGAAUUAAUGCAAGAAUUAAAAUAAUUUUAUGUACAAUAGGAAACAUGAAUAAAUGGGGAAAAAGAAUGAAUAAAAGUAACCAUCACAAUUAAGAAAUACAUAUACAAGUCAAGAACGCAUGAAACAAAGCUUUAUUCAAACUUAUUGUUCUAACAAUCAUGUAUUUACAGGCAGUGAACUCCACAUUCUACUGCCAUCUCAACACAGCUGUGCCAAUUCUGCAGCUGACCACUGUGGCCACCUUCGCCUGUCUUUGCUGUCCAUCAUGUCCCUCAUUGCUGCUCUCCUCAAUAGGGACAUUGUUGAGCCAGAAGAUGAGGAAGACCAUGUCGUCGGUCCCCCUGAACCCCACAACCUUAAAGCAAGAGUGGGAGAACGUGUCUGCUCCAAACAUUUGUGUGCCUGAACAUGACUACCUGUAAAACAUUUAAACAGAUUAAAACAUUUUACUAUUCA